rnacentral:rRNA from 1 species
UACGAAGGGGGCUAGCGUUGCUCGGAAUCACUGGGCGUAAAGCGCACGUAGGCGGACUCUUAAGUCGGUGGUGAAAUCCUGGAGCUCAACUCCAGAACUGCCUUUGAUACUGAGGAUCUUGAGUACGGGAGAGGUGAGUGGAACUGCGAGUGUAGAGGUGAAAUUCGUAGAUAUUCGCAAGAACACCAGUGGCGAAGGCGGCCCGCUGGGCAGUGGCUGACGCUGAGGCGCGACAGCGUGGGGAGCAAACAGG